UACGUAGGGUGCGAGCGUUAAUCGGAAUUACUGGGCGUAAAGGGCGCGUAGACGGUUGGGUAAGUCGGGUGUGAAAGCCCUGGGCUUAACCUGGGAACGGCAUUCGAGACUACCUAGCUAGAGUCUGGUAGAGGGAAGUGGAAUUUCCGGUGUAGCGGUGAAAUGUGUAGAUAUCGGAAGGAACACCAGUGGCGAAGGCGACUUCCUGGACCAAGACUGACGCUGAGGCGCGAAAGCGUGGGGAUCAAACAGG
rnacentral:rRNA from 1 species